CAGAGAUAGUAGCAGUAGCACUAGUAGUAGUAGUGAGAGUAGAAGUCGGAGUAGGGGCCGGGGACAUAAUAGAGAUAGAAAGCACAGAAGGAGCGUGGAUCGGAAGAGAAGGGAUACUUCAGGACUAGAAAGAAGUCACAAAUCUUCAAAAGGUGGUAGUAGUAGAGAUACAAAAGGAUCAAAGGAUAAGAAUUCCCGGUCCGACAGAAAGAGGUCUAUAUCAGAGAGUAGUCGAUCAGGCAAAAGAUCUUCAAGAAGUGAAAGAGACCGAAAAUCAGACAGGAAAGACAAAAGGCGUUAAUGGAAGAAGCCAGGCUUUCUUAGCCAUUCUUUGCAGCAGAAGAUUUC
rnacentral:lncRNA from 1 species